rnacentral:rRNA from 1 species
UAGGGAAUCUUCGGCAAUGGACGAAAGUCUGACCGAGCAACGCCGCGUGAGUGAAGAAGGUUUUCGGAUCGUAAAACUCUGUUGUUAGAGAAGAACAAGGACGUUAGUAACUGAACGUCCCCUGACGGUAUCUAACCAGAAAGCCACGGCUAACUACGUGCCAGCAGCCGCGGUAAUACGUAGGUGGCAAGCGUUGUCCGGAUUUAUUGGGCGUAAAGCGAGCGCAGGCGGUUUCUUAAGUCUGAUGUGAAAGCCCCCGGCUCAACCGGGGAGGGUCAUUGGAAACUGGGAGACUUGAGUGCAGAAGAGGAGAGUGGAAUUCCAUGUGUAGCGGUAAAAUGCGUAAAUAGAUGGAGGAACACCAGUGGCGAAGGCGGCUCUCUGGUCUGUAACUGACGCUGGGGCUCGAAAGCGUGGGGAGCAAACAGG